rnacentral:lncRNA from 1 species
GUAAAAUACGAGUACAAUCCUUAUUUCUUUACUAAUAUUGUAAAUGUGAAAAUCAUAAACGCUGAUUGAGGGCACGGUUGACUCCUGAGCGACCUGCGGCGCCUGCUGACUUCGGGGGACCAAGAGGCUUAUUAAUUCAUAAUUAUUCAAGUUUUGGUUGUGUAUCGUCUUAUGAAAAUAUCGCAAUUUAUUACAAUACAAUUAAUAUUUCGAGUAGAAAAAAUAUGAUGAAAAUUCUUUAUGAUUUUAAAUUUCGAAGUUCGAAUUUUAAAUUAAAACUAAUCUUAUAUUUGUAUUGUCAGGAGAAAAGUAAGUUAUAUUUUACAAAAUAAUAUAUUAUUAAUUUCAAUAACAUUCCAUAUUUGAAAUAUUUUAAAUACAUAAUUUUAAAAAAUAAUAAUUAAAAUGCAUUCGGGAAUGUCGGCUGUUAUUGUUCUCAAUGAAUAUUAUAUUUUAAACUUAUCGUUAUUGUAUGGCAACUAUUAGACUAUUAUUUUACUUAAAUAAGAUAAUUUGAGAACUGUAUUAGACAUCUUUAUUCUUCACUAUUUAUGUUGUCCACAGAAUAUAAAAAAAAAAUAUUAAGUACUAUAUAUUUGUAUACGUAAUAAACACUUGGACACCAUUAUUAUAUUAAAUAUCUUGGGGAUAAUGUUAAGAAAGUGGAUAAAUAAUUUUGCAUAAAUAUAUAUUAUAUGAGCGCAGUAAGUUGCAGCCAGUAAUUAUUAUUAAGUACCAUUCUAUGUCUAUGGUUACAGACCACAGACCACAAUCCAAUGAUAUAUCAAGUAGCAACUUUUAGAUUUUUCUUGCAACAUAACGUGUUUUAUUCUUACUUACAAUAAAAAAAAAAAAAAACAAUAUUCAAAAACAGAUAUUCCUGACUUUGAAUGAUUGGAUUUAAACAGUAAAUUUUCCCACAGGAAUCUAUUACUGGAAUGAAAAGUGUCCAUUAAUAUAUAUACUUAAUUUAGUGUACAUUUGUUCUAAGUAAGUUUUUUUUUAUGUAUUUUUUCUUAAGUAUAUAAAUAUUUAUUUAUUUAUUAAUAAAUAUUUAAAACAUUAUCUAUUUUAAUUAUAUAUAUCUCCUAAAACUAAAUUAAAAUAUUUAUAAUCUUAUAAAUUUACGUCGUUUGUAAGUAGUAAAUGUAAUAAUAUACACAUUUUAUACAAAUGCAUGGGUUAUUAUAUUUAUAUAUAUAUAUAUAUAAAUAUUUAUUAUUAGUUUAUUGAUAACAAGCGCACUAUGUAUACUUAACUGCUCGUAUUUAUAUUUCCUAAUAUUGAUAUAUAUUCCUGUAUAUAUAUUACAUAUUAUCUUAUGGGUAAAAUAUUUAUUUAUGAUAUUUAUAAUACAAAUAAUUAUUAUGGGCGAAAUAUUUAAAUGAAAAAUUUAUAUUUUUUAAUAGGUAGUGUAUGACUCUUAAGAGAAAAAAAAUUAUACUCAGUUAAAAAUGUAAUUAUUUGUAACAAUACGAUAUUUUAUUUACACAUUUUACCAAAAGAAGUAUUUUAGAAUAGAAAUUGGAUUAGGUAGUUAAUUAUUUGGAAGAAGAUUUUUAAAGAAAGAAUGUUAACAUAUCAUUGUUACGGUAGCUAGAUGUUAAAUUAAUUCAUUAAAUUAUAAUUUCAUAUAAUUUUAUUAAGUAUAGCUACUCGAAUGGAAAUUUUUUCAUUAAAUUAAAUGCAAUAUUUUAAUUAAAUGUAAUUACAUUUAAUUGAAUGUUUAAACAUUUAAUUAAAGUUAAUAUUUAUUGCUACAAUUUAAUUAAAUUACAAAUAUAAGAUUUUAAUAUAAAUUUUAUCUUUGGUUACCUAUUAUUUCAUUAUACGAGACUAGAUUAGGAGAAAUCAUGUCUAUAUUACUUUUUGAUGCUGGUAAUGCAAGAGAGCACAUCUUUCUCUAUCCUUAAGAAUUUUUUGGAUCUUUGUUCAAGAUUAUAUCUAUUCAUCGUUAUUUUAGGAGUGCAUCAUCCACGAUACUUUAGUAAAACUCUAAUAAAUAUUGUCCAGCCAUUUACAUCCAUUAUCUUCUUGCGAUACAUUUAAUAUCUGCCUCUCCAAUUUAGUAGUGGAAGGUCACCGUUUAUAGCCGUUUGCGUUACAUAGACGCGACCCGAGACUCCCACAGGUUAAUUUAGAAUCUUUCUAUAAGUACGAAUUAGGUAAUGUUAGUUAAAAACAGAUAUUUUUUGACACUUUUAAGUUAUUUAAAAGCCAAAUCGUCCUGAUUCGCGAAGGCUAACCUGGAGUAUAGAAAAGUCCAAAUGGUUCCUUAUAAGAGCUUCUCCGUUUAUUCACGUCGAUAGCUUGACUUCCUUGACCGUUUUGCCCAAUAACUGCCUUCAGCAUUAACCUUGAUAUUAUCGAUAUGAAACCGCAAAAUACUAUUAAUAUCGGUAUAAAAUAACAGAAUACUAGUAGCAUUCUGUGAUAUUAAUAGUAUUCUGUGAUACUAGUAGUAUUCUAUGAUAUUAGUAGUAUUCUGAGGUAAUACAAAAUGGCGCUAGGCAUAUCUCAGAAUUGUGAUUUUCUUUCAUAAUGUGUAAAAGUUGUUACUCUACGAGUAUAGUUGUUUAUAGAAUAAAAAGAUAAAUGGAUAACUUUAUAUUAUUAACUGUAGAAUAAUUGUUGUUUCCAUAUAUUAUUAUUAUUAAUCUUUUAGCAAUACGAUUUAAGAGGCCGUUCUUGCUGAAAUAAGUUUAAAAAAAUGUUGGUUUUACAUUAUUUUUAUUUCUAUAGUUAUGACAAUAUCUCAGAUAUUUUUGUAUAUACAGAGUGUACUCGUAAUCAUUAGCAUAUUUUUGGUGAAAUUGAACGUUUUUCUAUUUUAAUAGAAAAUAUGGAUCGAAAAAUGACAAAAUAUAUUGAAAAUAAAUAUAUACGCUAACACGGUCCAAGAUAUACGUGGUUUAAAUGGAGCGUCAAAUUAGUGUAGAAGGCACAAAAUGAUUUUAGGUUUGCGGAUCAUGUUUCUUUGUGGAAAAUGUUUAGUUUUACUUGUAGAACAAUCUAAAAGGAUGUUGAUGAUUGGGAAUUCGCUCUGUUUACUGAUGUUUUUAUGUACAUAUGUCAUAAUACUAAUAUAGAGAACAGCCUGUAUAAUUAUUACAGGUUGUGACGUAAUGGAUACCAUAACUGAAACUCAGUGAUUUUCAACCGAUUUCAAC